UAACAGCUGCUCAAGUGUCUAGUCCCUCACUGCAGAGCUCUCCUGCAAAUGGUGACAGUGAAACACACAACUUAUAAUGUAAGUUACAUAAAGUGCUUCCUACCCUCCCCCUGACUUAAAUCUUGGGGUAUUACCAUCUCAUGUUAGGCUCAUGGAUAAAGGGCUUCUAAGGGGAUUGUUGGGGAGCAGUAUGGCAGCUUUGCAGAUCAGGUCCUAGCCUAAAUUAUGUGCUUGGGAAAGAUGAGAGAAUGAUCAGAGUCAUGCCUGCACAAAAGCACCAGUUUGUAAAUGGAAGUGUAAGAGAGAGAAUAGAAUCUUGUUUAUGCUUUCAAGGUGCAGUGUUUGUAUCUGAUACUAACAAUGGUCCAGUCAGUAUUCCGGAACUCUGAACAAUUGGAUAUGUAAUUCCUUCCCACAUGCAAUUCCUCCUUCUUUGCUGUUGGUGGAGACAAUUAAAGAAGUGCCCUGGCAUGUGGGUACAAAAGGAGUCUUUAAGCUGACAUGCAAUCCUACCCAACUCAGCAGAGAGGGUUGGAAUAGAACUCCAGGCUGGGGAACUAAGUUUGCAUUUUACUCCAAAAUCAAAUAUCUUCUUGGGAAACCUCUGACACAGACGCUGGAUUAAGGUUCAGCCAUUUUAAGGCCAUGAAGAAAGAAGAUAGAAGAAACGUGGUUCCCUUAUGGCAUUGUUGUACCGUUAGAGAAGCCCUGGACAACUGCAACUUAUUCCCAUUCUUUUCUUGCAUGAGAUGAAUGAUAUCUUAUAUGUAAGCUACUAUUGUCAUAUAUUCUCUUGCUCAUGGUCAAACACAAUCCCAACAUAUUGCCAUAGUAUAUAUCAGGUACUCUGAGACCUUAGGGGAUUGAAGAAAGAUGACUGGAAAUUCA